rnacentral:snRNA from 1 species
GUGCUCACUUCAGCAGCACAUAUACUAAAAAUUAGAAAAAUACAGAGAAGAUUAGCAUGACCCCUGCACAAGAAUGACACACACAUUUGUGAAGCAUUCCAUAUAAAA